AACAGUCCAGCAGCUGACAGACUGUUGCAUGCAGCAGCUGAGGGUCAGGGAAGAGAUGUGAGACUUCUGAUACUUUCUCAAGGCCGGUGCAGGAUUCGGCUUCUGGAGAGCUCAAGGAUGAUUGCUUGCAAGGAUUGUAAGCUCCACUGGCAUGAGCAGUCCUGAGCCACCACGCAGAGUCACUCCCAAAUUCCUAACCUCAGGUAUCAAGAUGAAAAAGCCAGGUCAAAUAUACGUUGUCUACAACUUUCUGCUAGAUGUGGUGUAUACCCACGAUCCCAGUGCUCGAAAGGCUGAGGCAGGAGGAUUGGAGAGGAUCACUGUGAGCUUGAGACCAGCCUGGUUCACACGCAUGCA